rnacentral:rRNA from 1 species
UGAUUAGUGGCGAACGGGUGAGUAACACGUGAGUAACCUGCCCCUGACUCUGGGAUAAGCCCGGGAAACCGGGUCUAAUACUGGAUAUGCACCGUGGACCGCAUGGUUCUUGGUGGAAAGAUUUUUUGGUCAGGGAUGGACUCGCGGCCUAUCAGCUUGUUGGUGAGGUAAUGGCUCACCAAGGCGACGACGGGUAGCCGGCCUGAGAGGGUGACCGGCCACACUGGGACUGAGACACGGCCCAGACUCCUACGGGAGGCAGCAGUGGGGAAUAUUGCACAAUGGGCGAAAGCCUGAUGCAGCGACGCCGCGUGAGGGAUGACGGCCUUCGGGUUGUAAACCUCUUUCAGUAGGGAAGAAGCGAAAGUGACGGUACCUGCAGAAGAAGCGCCGGCUAACUACGUGCCAGCAGCCGCGGUAAUACGUAGGGCGCAAGCGUUAUCCGGAAUUAUUGGGCGUAAAGAGCUCGUAGGCGGUUUGUCGCGUCUGCCGUGAAAGUCCGAGGCUCAACCUCGGAUCUGCGGUGGGUACGGGCAGACUAGAGUGAUGUAGGGGAGACUGGAAUUCCUGGUGUAGCGGUGAAAUGCGCAGAUAUCAGGAGGAACACCGAUGGCGAAGGCAGGUCUCUGGGCAUUAACUGACGCUGAGGAGCGAAAGCAUGGGGAGCGAACAGGAUUAGAUACCCUGGUAGUCCAUGCCGUAAACGUUUGGGCACUAGGUGUGGGGGACAUUCCACGUUUUCCGCGCCGUAGCUAACGCAUUAAGUGCCCCCGCCUGGGGAGUACGGCCGCCAGGCUAAAACUC